rnacentral:rRNA from 1 species
UACGAAGGGGGCUAGCGUUGCUCGGAAUCACUGGGCGUAAAGCGCACGUAGGCGGACUCUUAAGUCGGGUGUGAAAUCUUGGAGCUUAACUCCGAAACUGCAUUCGAUACUGCCGUGCUUGAGGACUGGAGAGGAGACUGGAAUUUACGGUGUAGCGGUGAAAUGCGUAGAUAUCGUAAGGAAGACCAGUGGCGAAGGCGGGUCUCUGGACAGUUCCUGACGCUGAGGCACGAAGGCCAGGGGAGCAAACGGG